AAAUAAGAAUUAAUAUUAAUUAAAUUUAAUUUCGACUUAAAAAUAGGAAAAUCUUUCCCUUAUUUU
rnacentral:tRNA from 1 species